CUCUUUGUAUUUAUUAAAUAAAGAGUCGAUCCUGCUCGGUGAUUUAAAUUUAACAGCUGCGGUAUUUUAACUGUACUAAGGUAGCAUAAUAAUUUGCCUUAUAAAUUGAGGCUAGAAUGAAAGGUUUGACGAAGGUUUAUCUGUCUCUAUUUUAUUUAUUAGAAAUUAAUUUUUUAGUGAAAAAGCUAGGAUUUUUUAAAGGGACGAGAAGACCCUAUUGAGCUUAAAUUUAAAAAUAUUAAAUAAUUUAAUAUUUUGAUAAAUUUUAAUUGGGGUGAUUAAGGAAUAAAAUAAUAGGUAUUAUUAAAUAUAGUAACUUCCUUAAAUUUAAUACUGUUAGGUUAAGUAACCAAUGUAAUAUUGCUUAUAAUAAAGUUACCAUAGGGAUAACAGCGUAAUCUACUUAAAGAGUUCUUAUUGAAAAGUGGGAUUGCGACCUCGAUGUUGGAUUAAAGUAACCUUAAGGUGCAGCAGCUUUAAAAGGUAAAUCUGUUCGAUUUUUAAAACUUUACGUGAU
rnacentral:rRNA from 1 species